rnacentral:rRNA from 1 species
UACGUAGGUGGCAAGAGUUGUCCGGAUUUACUGGGCGUAAAGGGAGCGUAGGUGGAUAUUUAAGUGGGAUGUGAAAUACUCGGGCUUAACCUGAGUGCUGCAUUCCAAACUGGAUAUCUAGAGUGCAGGAGAGGAAAGUAGAAUUCCUAGUGUAGCGGUGAAAUGCGUAGAGAUUAGGAAGAAUACCAGUGGCGAAGGCGACUUUCGGGACUGUAACUGACAUUGAGGCUCGAAAGCGUGGGGAGCAAACAGG